rnacentral:tRNA from 1 species
GGUGCUAUCGUCUAGUGGUAAGACAACACGUUGUGGUUUACGAGUGCCCCUUGCUCUGGAACUGCAGCUGUGUAAACGACGGUUCGAUCCCGUCUGGCGCCA